UACAGAGGUCUCGAGCGUUGUUCGGAUUUAUUGGGCGUAAAGGGUGCGUAGGCGGGAUGGCAAGUCGGUCGUGAAAUCCCUCGGCUCAACUGAGGAUCGUCGAUCGAUACUGCCGUUCUUGAGGAUUGCAGAGGAGACUGGAAUUCCCGGUGUAGCGGUGAAAUGUGUAGAGAUCGGGAGGAACACCGGUGGCGAAGGCGGGUCUCUGGGCAAUUCCUGACGCUGAGGCGCGAAAGCGUGGGGAGCAAACGGG
rnacentral:rRNA from 1 species